UACGAAGGGAGCUAGCGUUGUUCGGAAUCCCUGGGCGUAAAGCGCACGUAGGCGGCUUCUUAAGUCAGGGGUGAAAUCCUGGAGCUCAACUCCAGAACUGCCUUUGAUACUGAGAAGCUCGAGUCCGGGAGAGGUGAGUGGAACUGCGAGUGUAGAGGUGAAAUUCGUAGAUAUUCGCAAGAACACCAGUGGCGAAGGCGGCUCACUGGCCCGGUACUGACGCUGAGGUGCGAAAGCGUGGGGAGCAAACAGG
rnacentral:rRNA from 1 species